GACUCUUUGGCGCAGUGGCUUAGCGUGUUGCUUUCCGAUUCGUUCGUGUGGCAAUGGUCCAGGGUUCGAUCCCCUGAAGAGUCU